ensembl:lncRNA
GAGUCACCCAGCAGCAGGUGUUCCCCCUGCUGCUCCUCUCAAACCUCUCUGCAUGAGUUGUCCCCUGGGAUAUGCUCUCUGUGAUCCCCUUGCAGCAUCGCCGCUGAUCUUCCCAGCCAAAAUGAGAGCAGAAGCAGUAGCCAAGUGAUCCCACAUAAUCUGUCUGUCUCUCCUAUACCAAGGACUCCACAUCUAGACACAGUACUCCAGCUGUUUCAAAAGGCUCUGUGAAGGGACCUCCACAGUGAGAAGCAGCCUGAAGUGGGCACCACUGCUGGGAACAGACCCAGGGUGCAGCACAGCCUCUGAGGCUCUAGCAGAGAAAUUCGGUAGUUGAUAGCAGUGGUUGAUUAUUUAGUCCACAAGGAGUGAAAUGGCAAAGACAAAUGGGUUUGUCAUAGGAAGCCUGGGCACCUCAGCUCCCAAGCCACCGGAUGGGGCCCCAAAGCUUUGCAAUGCCCUUCUGGGUAAGGACAGGCCAUACCCAUAGAUCUCAGGCAAAGUGGCAGAUGGAGGGCCAUGGGGUGGCACAGCCCCUUAGGAAGCAGCAGAACUGCUGUUCACCCAGCUGCCAAACACAUCAGCAAGGGAGCUUUGCUGACCUCAGUUUGUGAGAUUGCCCUCCCUCCGCACUUUGUCAGUCUUGGCCUUUAGUCUGUAGCCUGAGCCCCUAACUGGGAAAUAUUAAAAUGGCAUUAAAUAUUAAGAGAGACAACACAGCAUCCCUCACAGUGAGGGAGCUCCUGACACAGCAAUGCUUUUCCUAAUAAACUGCCUU